GGAAUAUUGGUCAAUGGACGGAAGUCUGAACCAGCCAAGUCGCGUGAAGGAAGACGGUUCUAUGGAUUAUAAACUUCUUUUGUUCGAGGGUAAAGUUAGGUACGUGUACCUAUUGGAAAGUAUCGGACGAAUAAGCAUCGGCUAACUCCGUGCCAGCAGCCGCGGUAAUACGGAGGAUGCGAGCGUUAUCCGGAUUUAUUGGGUUUAAAGGGUGCGUAGGCGGAUUAUUAAGUCAGCGGUGAAAGCGUGUGGCUCAACCAUACCGAGCCGUUGAAACUGGUAGUCUUGAGUGCAAACGAGGUAGGCGGAAUGUGACGUGUAGCGGUGAAAUGCUUAGAUAUGUCCCAGAACUCCGAUUGCGAAGGCAGCUUACCAGCAUGUAACUGACGCUCAGGCACGAAAGCGUGGGUAUCAAACA
rnacentral:rRNA from 1 species